GCAGAUAUUUUGGCUUUGUUUUGGCAGAUAUCUGCAAUUUAUGGCUUCCUUUUGGCAAGCCAUAAGCUUUUGGCAAAAUUUUGGCAUGGUUAUGGUUGACCUGGGCGCCAGUGAAUUGGGGCGUUCCUCUGGAAAGCAAAAAAAACAAAGAUUUGGCUAAAAUAUGGGUUGUUUAUGGCUUCCCACAACACAUUAAAACGCGCGGACUGUGAAUGAAUGAGUUAUGGCCAGGUUAUGGCAUGUGUCAGGUUAAUCUGAACCUCGGGUGGAGAGCGGGACAGCAACGUUCUACAUUGGUGCGCUUACGGCAACCCAAAAGACUGCCAAAAUCAACUGUCAAGAGAAACUCGUGCUUGCCUCACUUCAGUUUCCCCAGCGCCAGUGUGUGUCAGACUUCAGUUUAUGCAGAUGUGCUGCUGCUGAAGUCACCCGGUGGAGGAACUUGUUUUUUGACAGGCAUACUACAGAUGCUGUGCUGCGAACGGACACUGCAGUCACCUGUGGGAGGGGUCAAUCAAAUCGGAUCUCAAAAACAGAUGUCGCGAAUCUGAUCUGAUCUACCUACCUCUAUGUGGCAAUAGAGUACCUGCUUUUACUGGCCAGGGGACCAAGAUGAAAACAAGAGGCCUGUACCCAGACAUCCAAGCACCCAUCAAGUCACCCAGUCCUCCACCACCUGCCGUGCAGCUAUACCCAUCCAUCAAAUCCAGCCACUUGCCCACCCUAACCAGUCACAGCAUUUGGAGGCAAUAAAGUAUAAUGAAAUGUA